GUUGUUGCAGAUAUUCUGAGGAGAAUCUUCCAGUCAUUGAAAUAUAUUUCAUGAUAGUCAUGCAGAUUCAGAAGUUGUGAUGGUGUGUUGAUAGGCUGUCUUCAACUUGCCAUAUCUUAGAGUUCCAACACGCAGGCCUGGAUUAAUGUGUAUAAAUCACUAAUGAAGUUACUUAGUGUUAUUUAGUUUUUAAGAAAAGAAUGACAUUUCAAUUUAUACACACUUGCCAAGUGAAUCUGAUGAGACUGCUACAUGUAUUUGUGAGAAAAGGCACUCUGUCUUAACCGAAAAACUAUUUACAGUUUAUCACAACAAAUGGAUGGGACAGUAGAGCUGUUGUGGACAAUAUGUGAUUGUGAUGACCAAGUACUGAACAAGUGGAAGAUUAGAAGAAGGUCCAGAAUUCAAUCAUGUUUGUGAUUCUAAGGUGCAGACAGCAUGGAGAUAGUCCUAUUAUUCUCCCGUUCAUCUAUGAUGGAGAAACUUGUGUAAAUGUUUAGUGUUCUCCCUAAUAAUUAAGUGCCCACAAGUCUGUAUUAAUUUAUCAGAAUAUAAAGUCCUUCACUGUACAAUGUACUGAUUUUAAAAUUAAUGUAGAUUGUCUCCAGAUUUUUCUGAGGAAAAGUGCAUAGUUUACAUGUGUGAAUUUUGAAUAUAUUUCAUUCUUGUCUGCAAGUGUUGCCGAAACCUGUUGUUAUUGGUGCACAGUCAUGUUAUGCAAAUGAUCGACCUCUUUCUUAAUUACAGGUACAUAAGAUCAUGUCAACUCCUUUGUCUUAAUUGUAUACACAAUUCUAGCA